CCCAAAAAAAAAAAAGAUUCAGUCCUUUCAGAAAUCAAAUAUGUAUUGCCAAAGAAGAUUUGCCCUGCUCCAAGCCUAACUUUCAGUCAGGUAGGUCCAGUGCCAAGAAAGAAUUCCCAUGCAAAAACAGUUCAUUUUAUCAGCAGACGUCUGCAAGAAAACCAGGUCAAACAGACAUGUCUCUGGCAGCUUGAUUCAUUUGCCAAUUUUAGUUGUCAAAAGUGAGUGAUGCUUCUUCUAGUCUAACAUUUCCAUGCAACCCAAAAAAAGGAACUUGAGUCCAAAGUAAUUCCAACAGUAUCAGGUAUGGCGUAAUGGAAAUUAACAUCAAGGAGCCCAACAAUUACAUUUGCCGCUUCUAUAUUUCACAGAACCCAUAUACGCUAUCACCAAGAAUUCCAGCACAGAAUAUACAUUAUCCAAUCAAAGGAACUCGACCCAGUUCAUAUGUUGCUAACAAAACCACGUUCCUCUGAUUGCUUCUCACCUUCUCGCUCACUUACUAUGCCAAGAAAAUUUAACUGGGAAUUCAGAGAGGCCAAGUUCCUCCCCGAACCCCACACAUCAUCCCAUGAACGAGGCCGGAAAACAUUGCACAGUGAAGCGAAGAAAGGCUCGUCGCUCUUUAGAAUUGGGUAUGGUUUCGGUGUCUCUCUCAAAAACACUGCGACACUGGACGUUGGAGGUUUAUGAGUGGCUUUCACAUCAAAUAAGACACAGAGGGAGACUAUU
rnacentral:misc_RNA from 1 species